rnacentral:rRNA from 1 species
UGGGGAAUAUUGGACAAUGGGCGCAAGCCUGAUCCAGCAAUGCCGCGUGUGUGAAGAAGGCCUUCGGGUUGUAAAGCACUUUUAUCAGGAGCGAAACGCUGUCGGCUAAUACCCGGCGGAACUGACGGUACCUGAGGAAUAAGCACCGGCUAACUUCGUGCCAGCAGCCGCGGUAAUACGAAGGGUGCAAGCGUUAAUCGGAAUUACUGGGCGUAAAGCGUGCGUAGGCGGUUUCUUAAGUCUGCUGUGAAAUCCCCGGGCUCAACCUGGGAAUGGCAGUGGAUACUGGGAGGCUAGAGUGUGUCAGAGGGUGGUGGAAUUCCCGGUGUAGCGGUGAAAUGCGUAGAGAUCGGGAGGAACAUCAGUGGCGAAGGCGGCCACCUGGGACAACACUGACGCUGAGGCACGAAAGCGUGGGGAGCAAACAGGAUUAGGAUACCCUGGUAGUCCACGCCCUAAACGAUGCGAACUGGAUGUUGGUCUCAACUCGGAGAUCAGUGUCGAAGCUAACGCGUUAAGUUCGCCGCCUGGGGAGUACGGUCGCAAGACUGAAACUCAAAGGAAUUGACGGGGUCAUAGCUGUUUCC